UAGUUUGUUGGGGCUGGUUAGGCUUUGGGCUUUGGGAUGCCUUUGACCUAGAUUCAAAGCCUGGCUCUGCCUCUUAUUAUCAUAUAAUCUUGACUAUGUGUAUGUAAUCUGUCUGAUGCUGAAUUUCCUCAUCUGAGAAACGAGGAUGGUAAUGAUGAUGACCUGUAUUAAUGGAGAUGCGGAAAGUAAGGCCUAGAAAAGUGAAGUCAUUCUCCACUGAGCCCCGGAUUCCAGUUCAAGCUUGGCUGGCUGCUUUCAAAGCCCAUUUUUCCACCCACUAUCAGAUUGUGGAGCCAGACUAAUGAAAGUGGAGUGGAGAAAUCUACCCUAAGGAAAGGGAAGCCUGCUUUUGUGGGAGUGUGGGGUGCGUGCUUGGCUCAUCCCAACGUGUUGGCCUCCUGGCUAGCAGGAGGAAUUAAUUCUGGCCUCUGCAGCAGCCCUUGCUUCCUUGCCAAAAGGCAAGAGGCUGGAGUCCUGCUUGCAGCUCCCUCCUCCUGCCACCUACACAUCCACGAGUCACUUCCAAGGGUGGAGAAGCCUUUGAAGUCGGUAGUGACGCCGUGGAGGGUGAAGGCUUCGGAGAACUGAAGAGGUGAACACAGGGCCAGCAGAUAAGCAACCUAAACAACCAAGAGUGCACUCCCAGGCACAGAAUGAAGAAUUUCCGACAACGAGUUUUUGCCUGGCUUUUGCUUAGUCUAGUUUUUAGAGCUAUGAAGGAUGAUGUUCCUGAACUUGGCUAAGCCAGAAAUGGAAGAAGCUGUUAGCUCAGCAGUAGUCUAUGAGCUUUCCCCCAGAGUUAGAGCUCUGGGAUCUCUUGCCUCAGUUGGGGCUUGCCUGUAGCUUUCUCUCUCUCUCUUUCUGUAUUGAAUAAAUCAAUCUAGGGCUGACAAGAGUCCUAGGAGAUGCAUUUUA